ensembl:snRNA U7 U7 small nuclear RNA
CAGUGUUACAGCUCUUUUAGAAUUUGUCUAGCAGGCUUUCCAGUCUUUACUGGAAAGCCCCU